GAUACCAGAAUUUCUACCAUUGCCUAGACUUACAAUGCCAUGAUACAGUUAAAUAGCAGAAUUUUGCACUUGUAACUCUU